rnacentral:rRNA from 1 species
UACGAAGGGGGCUAGCGUUGUUCGGAUUUACUGGGCGUAAAGAGUGCGUAGGCGGUUCGGCAAGUUGGAAGUGAAAUCCCGGGGCUCAACCUCGGAAUUGCUUUCAAAACUGCCGAUCUAGAGUAUGGUAGGGGAUAGUGGAAUUCCUAGUGUAGGGGUGAAAUCCGUAGAUAUUAGGAGGAACACCAGAGGCGAAGGCGACUAUCUGGGCCAUUACUGACGCUAAGGUACGAAAGCGUGGGGAGCAAACAGG